UACGUAGGGUGCGAGCGUUAAUCGGAAUUACUGGGCGUAAAGCGUGCGCAGGCGGUUUUGCAAGCCGGAUGUGAAAUCCCCGGGCUCAACCUGGGAAUGGCAUUUGGGACUGCAAGGCUCGAGUGCGGCAGAGGAGACUGGAAUUCCUGGUGUAGCAGUGAAAUGCGCAGAUAUCAGGAAGAACACCUAUGGCGAAGGCAGCUCUCUGGGACGGUACUGACGCUGAGACGCGAAAGCGUGGGGAGCGAACAGG
rnacentral:rRNA from 1 species